rnacentral:rRNA from 1 species
AAUAGAUACCCUGGUAGUCCACGCCGUAAAACGAUGUCGACUUGGAGGUUGUGCCCUUGAGGCGUGGCUUCCGGAGCUAACGCGUUAAGUCGACCGCCUGGGGAGUACGGCCGCAAGGUUAAAACUCAAAUGAAUUGACGGGGGCCCGCACAAGCGGUGGAGCAUGUGGUUUAAUUCGAUGCAACGCGAAGAACCUUACCUGGUCUUGACAUCCACAGAACUUUCCAGAGAUGGAUUGGUGCCUUCGGGAACUGUGAGACAGGUGCUGCAUGGCUGUCGUCAGCUCGUGUUGUGAAAUGUUGGGUUAAGUCCCGCAACGAGCGCAACCCUUAUCCUUUGUUGCCAGCGGUCCGGCCGGGAACUCAAAGGAGACUGCCAGUGAUAAACUGGAGGAAGGUGGGGAUGACGUCAAGUCAUCAUGGCCCUUACGACCAGGGCUACACACGUGCUACAAUGGCGCAUACAAAGAGAAGCGAACUCGCGAGAGCAAGCGGACCUCAUAAAGUGCGUCGUAGUCCGGA